rnacentral:pre_miRNA from 1 species
UGUGUACUCCCUCCGUUCCAAAAUACUUGACUUCCAUUUGUCCAAAAAUGGAUGUACCUAUAUACUAAAACAUGUCUAAAUACAUCUAUAUUUUGACAAAUAGAAGGCAUGUAUUGUGGAACGGAGGGAGUAGAAU